GUUUCUGCGAGCCGGGCGGCGCGGAGGGGUUUGUGGGAAAUGCGAGGCGAGGACCUUUGGCGGCGAGAGGAGAAGGGGCUUCGUCCCACCGCCAUCUUUGCAGUGGGUUUUGCUGAAGUCGAAUGGUUCUGUUUCUUGCCUUUUUUUUUUUUUAAAGGCAUGGUUUUCCUGAGCUGAAUUUCCUUAUCGUUGUACACUGAAAAGAGCGCUUGAAAGGAAAUUCAGUUUCUACUGGGUUGAUUCACUACUGUGCAAGAAGACAGAGAAUAUGCACUUUUAGGAAGGAACCUUUUUAUACAUAUGGCUAAUUGUGACUCUUAGUAAAUGGAUUACAGAACUCACAAAUGAGUGUGGACUCAAGGUUUAAAAAGCACUGCAGGAACCAACUACCUAGGACUGGAAUUACUGAAUCUUAGGGAAAAUGAAUUCACUUUACAAGUCACAAACAGCAGCAAAUGAAAUUUAAAAAGAUGAAAUCUCCAAUUGCAUCAAAAACAUCACAUACCUGGCAAUAGAUAUAAUAAAAGUUGGGCAAGACCAUCACACCAAAGAACUACAAAUCAUUAUUGAGAGAAACUAAAGACGAUCAAAUUAACAGAAGUCAGAGGAGGUGAAAGAGGAGUAGGAGUCACAGGAAGUUGGAACAACUGCAGGCCCCACGCGGUUUCCAGGUCAACAAGGGGGAGCCGUGAGGUAAGAGAGAGAAGGGACAACGUGUACCAGCUAGAACAGUGCCUGCUGCGGAGCUCUAAACAUGAAAAUCAUGGCUGCUGCGUCGCUUCUGCC